rnacentral:tRNA from 1 species
GGGCACGAGCGCUCAGUUGGUGGGCGGCCGGACUCCAAAUCCGGUGUGCGGGGGUUCGAUUCCCUCUGGGCCUG